UCUGCAGGCCAACGCUCUACCGCUGAGCCAAACCGGUUAGGGCAAUUUAAUACUUUUUAAGUAAAGAAAAUUGCAGCUGGUGGGAAGGUCGGCCCUAAAGAAGAUUCUGGGAUGUGUAGUCCAGAUGCCUCCUGUGAUGGGUGCAUCUCCGCUCUUGGAAAGAGCAGACAUGUUCCUUAGGGAGGUUUAAUCAAGUGUUAUUUAUGUAUGGAGGCAUUUGGGUUGCCCGAGGGCAGGGAAUGAACCCAGCUUCUUUCCGGGAAUUUGAAUCAGGCCGCCCUAGCGCCCCCGGGGGCGGGGCAGCAGCUCCGGUUCCCCCAGUGAUGCUGGGAAAUGUAGUCCGUGAGCUCCGCGAAGUCGGAGGCACUUCCGCUGCAGAAGGCCGAGCUCGCGGCCUCGGUUUCUCCGGGAGGAGCAACCAAGAGGCAAGAUCUAGAAAACUGGCUCUGACGUGAGAUCUGGAUUCAGGGCCCACCGGCCUCUUGACCUCACUGCGCCCCAGCUUCCUUAUCUGUGAAAUGAGAACAGUGGUCGUCGUCACUGACUGAGAACUUCCUACAGUGCCAGCUGAGAAUAGGCACAGAGGGGUCCGCGCUUGGAGCCAGGUCACACCACUGGUGCAGCAGUAGGUUCUUCGCAGGUACCUUGAUGAAACAAUGCUUCCUGGAUGCUUCU